UGGGGAGAAGCCUUUGCCAGAACUGUGCUUCUUCUCAGAGCCAGAGCAGCACUUCUGGUCCCCAGCUUCUCUCUGGACAGAGGAGAGGCUGGAGGGGGGACUGAGCCUAGACAUGAGGGGUAGCAGUCCUUGAGUAUGAGAAUCAAAUCUAUAACAAAAUUAUUUCUGUUCUUUUUUUCUUUCUUUUCACAGAGUUUCACAUUUCUGGAAGAUAGGAAAGAUGCAGCAUUCAUUUCCCAUGUAUUGUUCUGGAAGAGCAGAAAGGAAAGGCUCACAGACUGGCCAUGCACAUGAAAACUGCAUCCUCAGAAUAAACUCCUGCCAAUAGCGGCA
rnacentral:lncRNA from 1 species